UAGGGAAUAUUGGACAAUGGGGGCAACCCUGAUCCAGCCAUGCCGCGUGAGUGAAGAAGGCCCUCGGGUUGUAAAGCUCUUUUGUCCGGAAAGAAAAGCAUUCGGUGAAUACCCGGAUGUUCUGACGGUACCGGAAGAAUAAGCACCGGCUAACUUCGUGCCAGCAGCCGCGGUAAUACGAAGGGUGCAAGCGUUACUCGGAAUUACUGGGCGUAAGGCGUGCGUAGGUGGUUGUUUAAGUCUGAUGUGAAAGCCCUGGGCUCAACCUGGGAAUGGCAUUGGAAACUGGGCAGCUAGAGUGCGGUAGAGGGUAGUGGAAUUCCCGGUGUAGCAGUGAAAUGCGUAGAGAUCGGGAGGAACAUCUGUGGCGAAGGCGACUGCCUGGACCAGUACUGACGCUGAGGCACGAAAGCGUGGGGAGCAAACA
rnacentral:rRNA from 1 species